ACGUAGGGGGCGAGCGUUAUUCGGAAUUACUGGGUGUAAAGGGUAUGUAGGCGGCCCUUCAAGUCGCGUGUCAAAGUCCAGUGCUCAACGCUGGGAGUGCACGCGAGACUGACGGGCUUGAGUACUGGAGAGGUGAGCGGAAUUCCCGGUGUAGCGGUAAAAUACGUAGAGAUCGGGAGGAACACCAGCGGCGCAGGCAGCCCACUAGACAUUUUCUGACGCUAAGACACGAAAGCGUGGGGAGCAAACAG
rnacentral:rRNA from 1 species